rnacentral:rRNA from 1 species
GACGAACGCUGGCGGCGUGCUUAACACAUGCAAGUCGAACGGAAAGGCCCUGCUUUUGUGGGGUGCUCGAGUGGCGAACGGGUGAGUAACACGUGAGUAACCUGCCCUUGACUUUGGGAUAACUUCAGGAAACUGGGGCUAAUACCGGAUAGGAGCUCCUGCUGCAUGGUGGGGGUUGGAAAGUUUCGGCGGUUGGGGAUGGACUCGCGGCUUAUCAGCUUGUUGGUGGGGUAGUGGCUUACCAAGGCUUUGACGGGUAGCCGGCCUGAGAGGGUGACCGGACAGUUUGGGGAUGAGAGGCGGGCCCGCCCUCCUGGGGGGGAGGAAGUGGGGAAUAUUGAAAAAAGGGAGGAAGAGUGAUACAACAAGCACGAGGGGGGAAAGAAGGGCUUGGGGUUGUAAACCGCUUUCGCCUAGAAAGAAGGGGGGGGGAAGGGAAAUGGAAAAAAAAGCACGGGAAACCAA